rnacentral:rRNA from 1 species
GAACGCACCGCAAGGUGAGUGGCGCACGGGUGAGUAACGCGUGGGAACCUGCCCUGGAGUGGGGGAUAACCCGGCGAAAGCCGGGCUAAUACCGCAUACGUCCUGAGGGAGAAAGAUUUAUCGCUCUAGGAGGGGCCCGCGUCGGAUUAGCUAGUUGGUGAGGUAACGGCUCACCAAGGCGACGAUCCGUAGCUGGUCUGAGAGGAUGAUCAGCCACACUGGGACUGAGACACGGCCCAGACUCCUACGGGAGGCAGCAGUGGGGAAUAUUGGACAAUGGGGGAAACCCUGAUCCAGCAAUGCCGCGUGAGUGAUGAAGGCCUUAGGGUUGUAAAGCUCUUUCGGCGGGGACGAUGAUGACGGUACCCGCAGAAGAAGCCCCGGCUAACUUCGUGCCAGCAGCCGCGGUAAUACGAAGGGGGCAAGCGUUGUUCGGAAUUACUGGGCGUAAAGGGCGCGCAGGCGGCCGACGUAGUCAGGCGUGAAAGCCCCGAGCUUAACCUGGGAAUUGCGUUUGAUACUGGUUGGCUGGAGUUCGGGAGAAGAUGGUGGAAUUCCCAGUGUAGAGGUGAAAUUCGUAGAUAUUGGGAAGAACACCGGUGGCGAAGGCGGCCAUCUGGACCGAAACUGACGCUGAGGCGCGAAAGCGUGGGGA